rnacentral:rRNA from 1 species
AGGGUUUGAUCCUGGCUCAGAACGAACGGUGGCGGUGUGCUUAUUCCAUGCAAGUCGAGCGGUAACCGGCUUCGGCCGGGGAAAGCGGCGAAAGGGUGAGUAACGUAUGGACAACCUGCCUUUAAGUGGGGGAAAACAGUUCGAAAGGACUGCUAAUACCGCAUAAGGUUGUAAUGUUGCAUGACAUCGCAAUUAAAGCAGGGGAUCUUCGGACCUUGUGCUUAAAGAGGGAUCCAUAUCCUAUUAGCUAGUUGGUGAGGUAAGAGCUCACCAAGGCGACGAUGGGUAGCCGGCCUGAGAGGGUGAACGGCCACACGGGCACUGAGACACGGGCCCGACUCCUACGGGAGGCAGCAGGAAGGAAUAUUGGGCAAUGGGCGAAAGCCUGACCCAGCGACACCGCGUGGAGGACUGAAGGCCUUCGGGUUGUAAACUCCUAACAUGUAUUAAGAAGGUAUGUUUGGUUAAUACCCGGAUAUACUUGACGAAGGUACAAGAUGAAGUCAUGCCUAACUCCGUGCCAGCAGCCGCGGUAAUACGGAGAUGGCAACCGUUGUUCGGAAUUACUGGGCUUAAAGAGCACGUAGGCGGGACGAUAAGUUGAUUGUGAAAGCCCAUGGCUCACCCAUGGAAUUGCAGUCAAAACUGUCGCUCUCGAGAUCGGAAGGGGAGAGUGGAACUCCUGGUGGAGCGGUGAAAUGCGUUGAUAUUAGGAGGAACGCCGGUGGCGAAAGCGACUCUCGGGUCCGAGACUGACGCUGAGGUGCGAAAGCUAGGGGAGCAAACGGGAUUAGAUACCCCGGUAGUCCUAGCCGUAAACGAUGGGUACUAAGUAGGGGGACGCAAGUUUCUCUGCUGGAGCGAAAGUUUUAAGUACCCCGCCUGGGGAGUAUGGUCGCAAGGCUGAAACUCAAAGGAAUUGACGGGGGCUCGCACAAGCGGUGGAGCAUGUGGUUUAAUUCGAAUCAACGCGAAGAACCUUACCUGGACUUGACAUGUUAGGAUUAUACAUCUGAAAGGGUGUAGACACUCUUCGGAGCGGAACUAACACAGGUGUUGCAUGGCUGUCGUCAGCUCGUGCCGUGAGGUGUUGGGUUAAGUCCCAUAACGAGCGAAACCUUUAUCCUUAGUUGCCAGCGGGAGAGCCGGGGACUCUAGGGAGACUGCCCACGUUAAGUGGGAGGGAGGUGGAGACGACGUCAAGUCAUCAUGGCCCUUAUGUCCAGGGCUACACACGUGCUACAAUGGUCGGUACAAAGGGAAGCGAAACCGAGAGGUCAAGCAAAUCUCCUAAAGCCGGUCUCAGUUCGGAUUGAGGGCUGAAAUUCGCCCUCAUGAAGCUGGAAUCGCUUGUAAUCGUGGGUCAGCUAUACCACGGUGAAUGUGUUCCCGAGCCUUGUACACACCGCCCGUCAAGCCACUGAAGCAGGGGUGGCCUGAAGUCACUGACCUAACCCUUCGGGGAGGGAGGUGCCCAAGGAAACUUCUGUGACAGGGACUAAGUCGUAACAAGGUA